UGGUCUUAAUUGGCCGGGU
rnacentral:siRNA from 1 species